GAGCUCAAAUUUGAAAGCUGGCUCCUUCGGGGUCCGCAUUGUAAUUUGCAGAGGAUGCUUCGGGAGCGGCCCCCAUCUAAGUGCCCUGGAACGGGCCGUCAUAGAGGGUGAGAAUCCCGUCUGGGAUGGGGUGCCCGCGCCCGUGUGAAGCUCCUUCGACGAGUCGAGUUGUUUGGGAAUGCAGCUCUAAAUGGGUGGUAAAUUUCAUCUAAAGCUAAAUACUGGCCGGAGACCGAUAGCGCACAAGUAGAGUGAUCGAAAGAUGAAAAGCACUUUGAAAAGAGAGUUAAACAGCACGUGAAAUUGUUGAAAGGGAAGCGCUUGCGACCAGACUCGCCCGCAGGGUUCAGCCGGCAUUCGUGCCGGUGUACUUCCCCGCGGGCGGGCCAGCGUCGGUUUGGGCGGCCGGUCAAAGGCCCUCGGAAUGUAACGCCCCCCGGGGCGUCUUAUAGCCGAGGGUGCCAUGCGGCCAGCCCGGACCGAGGAACGCGCUUCGGCUCGGACGCUGGCAUAAUGGUCGUAAGCGAC
rnacentral:rRNA from 1 species